GUAUGGGCAGGGGUACCUUUACCUUUACCUUUAUGGAUUGCCAUUUGUUCCAAAUCCAGUUUUAAAAAGCAGGUUUUUGCAGGGAAAGCUCUAGAGGGAGAAAAGUGUACUCAGAAACGGAGCUUUAAAGCAUGGACCAUGCCUGGAAAGAGCAGGGGAAAGCUAAGUGUGGAUAAGCCCCAAGUCUUAACUAUCGAAGCUCACCUCUCAAACCACUUCAAAGAGGCACCACAUGCACACCAAAGGCUACAAGGUGAAGAUCACACCCUCACAUUGAUCCCUGGACUCUGGUCAACUAACAGCAUCACUCAAAGCCCCACUCAAAGCCCCACCCAGGCUAUUAAGCAAGAGUGGUAACUUAUCUACUGGAGUAGUCCACAGUUGGAAGGAACCUGGAUUUGUAUACAAGGAGCAAGUUUGAUCUUUCCUGCUGAUUAUACCAGGUCACUUUGGAAACUUGCAGAUUUGUGAAGGUGCCUGAGAUUCUCUAACACAGUAUUCGCAAUAGCACCACAAACUAUGAUUCCCAGAAUUCACUGGGGGAAGCCAGGCAUGUACCAGGUGUGAUUAGUAGAAAUCUAAGAGUCGCACGGUCCCAAUUUUCUCCUUGCCUGCCCACCAGUAUCCAGUAUAGCUGAAUGUAUUCUACUGUGUUAUGCUGCCGAUACGGAGCCAAUGAAAAGCUGUAAGGAGGCUGCUGUUCCUUACCUAUCCUCCCAUUAAACCCAUGUAGUUAUGUGGCAUCUCAUCUAACACCUCGAAGGCAAGUCUACUGCAACCCCACACCCCAGGGAAGGGAACUCCUUUUGGAUGUUCUCAGAAUCCCCAUCCAGAACAACCAAUGGUCAGGGCUGUUCUUUGACAACUUGGAAGUUGCAAAAAGGAUAUUAGUAGGCAAAAGGAUUUGUUCAGCUGAUUCAGCUGCUGCUGCUGCUGCUGCUGAUUAUGGUAUGUAUUUUUGUGUUUAUAUUGUAAAUUGCCUUGUGAU